rnacentral:lncRNA from 1 species
CAGGCUUCUACACCAGGCCUGACCUGAAAUACAAGCACAAAAGACUUUAAAAUCAGAAUGCCUUAUAUACAAAAAAUAUCAUUGAAUUUUCUCCAUGUCUUUCAUGUUGAGAACUAUACAAAUGCCAACAGCACCACACCCUCCAAAUGUAAGGAAACAGGUUUUAUUGCCAUCCCCUGGAGCAGUUAUCCAUGAACAGCUGUUCUCCCUAAACACAGUCCUUUGAUCCAAAAACCAUUGCCAAAUCCAGAGCAGAGUCUUAGUAGAGCCUGAAUGAGAGAACCCAAUGGUCUAGAGUCAAUGCGAGGCCAUCUAGUAUGAAGAGACUCAAACCUGUGAAUGAGCCACCUGUACCUAAAUUUUGUGCCUCUUCAGUUUCCUCUUGGCCUUGAAUGCAGAGUGGAAUUUGCAGCACUAAUCAAGUGUUGCUGGACAGGCUGACAAUUGUAAUUUAAAGCCAUGAGCUCACUCUGCAAUGUGUAUUGCACUUACUGGCUUCAAUAUUUUCC